rnacentral:rRNA from 1 species
ACUCAAAUGAAUUGACGGGGGCCCGCACAAGCGGCGGAGCAUGCGGAUUAAUUCGAUGCAACGCGAAGAACCUUACCAAGGCUUGACAUGCACGGGAAAGUUCCAGAGAUGGUUCCCCCGCAAGGUCCGUGCACAGGUGGUGCAUGGUUGUCGUCAGCUCGUGUCGUGAGAUGUUGGGUUAAGUCCCGCAACGAGCGCAACCCUUGUCUUAUGUUGCCAGCACGUGAUGGUGGGGACUCAUAAGAGACUGCCGGGGUCAACUCGGAGGAAGGUGGGGAUGACGUCAAAUCAUCAUGCCCCUUAUGUCUUGGGCUUCACGCAUGCUACAAUGGCCGGUACAAAGGGCUGCGAAACCGUGAGGUGGAGCGAAUCCCAAAAAGCCGGUCUCAGUUCGGAUUGGGGUCUGCAACUCGACCCCAUGAAGUCGGAGUCGCUAGUAAUCGCAGAUCAGCAACGCUGCGGUGAAUACGUUCCCGGGCCUUGUACACACCGCCCGU